rnacentral:rRNA from 1 species
AUGUUCUCCGCCAUGUCUUUGUCGUGUGCGAACAACAUUAGGGAUGCCCUAACCAAUGCGUAGAAGGGGUCCCAAUCGGCCUCGGCCUACUUUGUCCACAUGAGGUCGCUCUCUGACGAGCUCAUGGUUAAGGGAAAAUCGAUCAGGGAGCCAGAGCAUAUCUCCUUCAUCAUAGCCGGACUCGACAUGGAGUACCAGCUCAUCACAUCCACAUUGGACAUCCGCACCGAUCCAAUCACCGUCAACCUCCUCUUUUCUAUGGCGGCUAAUUUCGACCACUGAGUCGAGAUGUUCCACGCCAACGUCAAUGGCAGCUUCAACUUGUCUGCAAACAUUACUGCCAGAGGCCGGCAAGGAGGCAAGGAUGGCUAUCGCAACCAAAAGAAUGGUGGCAGUGGUGGAUCUCGCGGCGGCGAUGGUGGUGCCGGCUACGGCGGCGGCCCUCCGCAGCAAAACGGUGGCGGCGGCUACCAAGGGGCUGGUGGUGGCGGCCACUACUACCCUAACAACAACAACAACAACAACAACAACAACAACAACAACAACAACAACAACAACAACAACAACAACAACAACAACACCUCUAGGCACCCCCUCCAACAAUAACAGGGGCGCAAUUUUCAAGGUUAUGAGGGGUAUGAAGGAAAGUGCCAAAUUUGUAAGAAAACAAAUCACAUUGCAAAAUAUUACGAUUGGUGUUAUGAUACGUCUCCAACGUAUCUAUAA